rnacentral:rRNA from 1 species
CCCUUAGAUGUCCGGGGCUGCACGCGCGCUACACUGAAGGAAUCAGCGUGCUAAAACCAUUGUCGAAAGGCAUUGGUAAACCCAUUAAAAUCCUACGUGAUUGGGAUCGGGAAUUGCAAUUAUUUCCCUUGAACGAGGAAUUCCCAGUAAGUGUGGGUCAUAAGCUCGCGUUGAUUACGUCCCUGCCCUUUGUACACACCGCCCGUCGCUGCCCGGGACUGAGCCGUUUCGAGAAAAGCGGGGACUGCUGCUGUCGGGGCUUUCGGGCCUUGGCUUCGGUGGAAACCACUUUAAUCGCAGUGGCUUGAACCGGGCAAAAGUCGUAACA